AGCGAACGCUGGCGGCAGGCCUAACACAUGCAAGUCGAACGAUCCUUCGGGAUAGUGGCGGACGGGUGAGUAACACGUGGGAACGUGCCCUUUGGUUCGGAACAACUCAGGGAAACUUGAGCUAAUACCGAAUGUGCCCUUCGGGGGAAAGAUUUAUCGCCAUUGGAGCGGCCCGCGUCUGAUUAGCUAGUUGGUGAGGUAAAGGCUCACCAAGGCUACGAUCAGUAGCUGGUCUGAGAGGAUGAUCAGCCACAUUGGGACUGAGACACGGCCCAAACUCCUACGGGAGGCAGCAGUGGGGAAUCUUGCGCAAUGGGCGAAAGCCUGACGCAGCCAUGCCGCGUGAAUGAUGAAGGUCUUAGGAUUGUAGAAUUCUUUCACCGGGGACGAUAAUGACGGUACCCGGAGAAGAAGCCCCGGCUAACUUCGUGCCAGCCGCCGCGGUAAAAC
rnacentral:rRNA from 1 species